CAAGGUCCACUCGCAGUGAAAUAAACCAGAGGUUUGAACCAUGCCUCGAUAUGAAAUGAUUGGAAAGAAUAUGGCAAUGACAGCCACAAUGCCAGUAAAUAAAUAAGAAGACAAAAUGUCAAGCAGGAUGAAAAAGUCGUUCAAUGAAACACAGCUAUUAAGUGGCUGACCUAAAAGCAUCAUGAAAACAUGUUUUCAGGACAUUAAUAACUUGAUCCUCACAAGAAACCUUUAAAUUUGGACACAAGGAAUUCAUAACUACAUUUUAUGUAUAUGAAGAAAGUAAGCCCCAGAGAAUUCCAAGAGCCUGUUCAGGAUAGUCUGCUUCAGAGCCAUGGCUCUCAAAGUACCUCAGGAUCUCCAGAGCAGCUCUUUUGUGGGAGCCAAAAUUGUGCAUUUCUAACUUGGUCCCAGGUGAUACUUGUGCUGGGGCUGCUAGUCUACACUUAACUCUAUUCACUUUUUUGUGUUUUCUUAGGAUAAAGAAAAUAUUUAGAAAAUGAGA